CUGUAUCAGAGUUCAGAGUUCAUAACCACCGCCUCAAGUGGAUGUACAGAGCGGAAUGAGAAAGAAAUAUAAAAGUCGCCAGGAUCAAAAUGGAGUCACUUAGGUCAAUUAUAUUUGUUAAAGUAAAAAACGCCAGUAAGUUAAGAAGGAAGGGCUGAGUUCUUAUAUUUGAGUAUCUGGUAACAGUUCUCCUAGGCUGCUAGCCUCUGCAGAUGCUACCAACGCGUCCUGUAGCAUCCACAGGAACAUCUGCCCAACAACUGGCUUCUCAGUCUCAGACCCACACCAGUCACUGCGGCAAGGACUAUUGUUUCAAAAUAGCUCACGGACUCCUCUCCAUUCGGACGGAGGUGCUUCAAAAGCAUAGCUGUUUGACUGCGCAUGUGCAGGCUGCGUUCUCGUUGUGGCAUUCAACCCCCUUCAAGGAAGAAAGUUCCAAAGAAGUACCACUAUGCCUCGGAGAAAACCUCGCUUGUUUCUUCUUUACGCUUGAGGUGGCAGUAACAUCUGGACACAAAUACGAGCAGACAAAACCAAUAUGAUACGAAUAGCUCAGGCUUCUCCAGACCCCGCGGUGCGCAAGAGCUCAGACUUCUCCAGACCCUGCGGUGCGCAAGCUUUUGAUCAGCCAUGGGG
rnacentral:lncRNA from 1 species